GUUGAACGCUGGCGGCAUGCCUUACACAUGCAAGUCGAACGGUAACAGGUCUUCGGAUGCUGACGAGUGGCGAACGGGUGAGUAAUACAUCGGAACGUGCCUAGUAGUGGGGGAUAACUACUCGAAAGAGUGGCUAAUACCGCAUGAGAUCUACGGAUGAAAGCAGGGGAUCGCAAGACCUUGUGCUACUAGAGCGGCCGAUGGCAGAUUAGGUAGUUGGUGGGAUAAAAGCUUACCAAGCCGACGAUCUGUAGCUGGUCUGAGAGGACGAUCAGCUACACUGGGACUGAGACACGGCCCAGACUCCUACGGGAGGCAGCAGUGGGGAAUGUUGGACAAUGGGCGAAAGCCUGAUCCAGCAAUGCCGCGUGCAGGAUAAAGGCCUUCGGGUUGUAGACUGCUUUUGUACGGAACGAAAAGCUCUGGGUUAAUACCCUGGGGUCAUGACGGUACCGUAAGAAUAAGCACCGGCUAACUACGUGCCAGCAGCCGCGGUAACAC
rnacentral:rRNA from 1 species